GUCCAAGUAAUUUAACUAAAAUACUGGCCUUGUAAGCCAGCAAUGAAGGUACACCCCUUCCUAGGACA
rnacentral:tRNA from 1 species